GUAUUUCAGAACAACACAGAAAUUGAAUAUGAGCACAGUUAGCAGUUAGCAACACAUUCCCAUUUGGAGGGAAUUCAAUGAUGGGUCAAACCUAAAGUUCUUAUCCAGGAAAUGAGGUCGUUGGACUGGACAGAAACAUAGCGUGGGGGAGAAAGCAGUGUUUCUGCCAUCGUCUACUAAAGUACAAAUGACUGCUUUCCGAUCGGCAGAAGAGUCUUUGUAGAAUGAGGUGAACUGUUCUUUGCAAACAAACAACCUUGCCACUUCAACUGUUAYAUUUUUCUCACCUGUUCCAGAGCUGUAUCAGGUUCAUAUCAGCUAUAUACAGGAAACAGAGAGGCUUGAAAUUUGCAUCUUCUCAGAAGGGUGGCUGAUCUCACCUGUUCCCACGUAAAGGAAUGAUGAAACUCGUACUGAAGUGCAACAACUUUGUAGAAGUUGAUUUAUUUAUAUAGCGUCUAGUUG
rnacentral:lncRNA from 1 species